rnacentral:rRNA from 1 species
AUUGAACGCUGGCGGCAGGCCUAACACAUGCAAGUCGAGCGGAUGACGGGAGCUUGCUCCUUGAUUCAGCGGCGGACGGGUGAGUAAUGCCUAGGAAUCUGCCUGGUAGUGGGGGACAACGUUUCGAAAGGAACGCUAAUACCGCAUACGUCCUACGGGAGAAAGCAGGGGACCUUCGGGCCUUGCGCUAUCAGAUGAGCCUAGGUCGGAUUAGCUAGUAGGUGAGGUAAUGGCUCACCUAGGCGACGAUCCGUAACUGGUCUGAGAGGAUGAUCAGUCACACUGGAACUGAGACACGGUCCAGACUCAUACGGGAGGCAGCAGUGGGGAAUAUUGGACAAUGGGCGAAAGCCUGAUCCAGCCAUGCCGCGUGUGUGAAGAAGGUCUUCGGAUUGUAAAGCACUUUAAGUUGGGAGGAAGGGCAGUAAGUUAAUACCUUGCUGUUUUGACGUUACCGACAGAAUAAGCACCGGCUAACUCUGUGCCAGCAGCCGCAGUAACAC